UACGGAGGGUGCAAGCGUUGUCCGGAUUUAUUGGGUUUAAAGGGUGCGUAGGCGGCCCGUUAAGUCAGUGGUGAAAGCCUCCAGCUCAACUGGAGAACUGCCAUUGAUACUGACGGGCUUGAGUACAGACGAGGUUGGCGGAAUUGAUUGUGUAGCGGUGAAGUGCAUAGAUACAAUCAAGAACUCCGAUUGCGUAGGCAGCUAACUAGGCUGUAACUGACGCUGAGGCACGAAAGCGUGGGGAGCGAACAGG
rnacentral:rRNA from 1 species